rnacentral:rRNA from 1 species
UAUAUGGUGGCUAAUAUUCACCAUAUUUGACGGUACCGUUAGAGGAAGCACCGGCUAACUCCGUGCCAGCAGCCGCGGUAAUACGGGGGGUGCAAGCGUUGUUCGGAAUCAUUGGGCGUAAAGAGCGUGUAGGCGGCUGGACAAGUCAGAUGGAAAGCCGGGCUUAACCCAGGAAGGCAUUUGAAACUGUCUUGCUGAGUAAGGGAGAGGAAAGUGGAAUUCCUGGGUAGAGGUGAAAUUCGUAAGAUAUCAGGAGGACACCGGUGGCGAAGGCGACUUUCUGGCCCUAUACUGACGCUGAGACGCGAAAGCGUGGGUAGCAAACAGGAUUAGAUACCCUGGUAGUCCACGCUGUAAACGAUGUUCACUAGGUGUUGGGGGUAUUGACCCUUCCAGUGCCGCAGCUAACGCAUUAAGUGAACCGCCUGGGGAGUACGGUCGUCAAUGAUUAAAACUCUAAUAGGAAUUGACUGGGGGCCCGCACAAGCGGUGGAGCAUGUGGUUUAAUUCGAUGCAACGCGAAGAACCUUACCUAGAUUGACAUCUGCGGAACCUUCUGGAAA